rnacentral:rRNA from 1 species
UACGAAGGGGGCUAGCGUUGUUCGGAUUUACUGGGCGUAAAGCGCACGUAGGCGGAUCGAUCAGUCAGGGGUGAAAUCCCAGAGCUCAACUCUGGAACUGCCUUUGAUACUGUCGAUCUGGAGUAUGGAAGAGGUGAGUGGAAUUCCGAGUGUAGAGUUGAAAUUCGUAGAUAUUCGGAGGAACACCAGUGGCGAAGGCGGCUCACUGGUCCAUUACUGACGCUGAGGUGCGAAAGCGUGGGGAGCAAACAGG